rnacentral:rRNA from 1 species
AGCAGCCGCGGUAAUUCCAGCUCCAAUAGCGUAUAUUAAAGUUGUUGCAGUUAAAAAGCUCGUAGUUGAAUUUCGGGAUCGAAUUGUUGGUCGUGCUUCGGUACGCACUGGCAUUAUCGGUUCCUACCUUCUGAAGAACCGCGAUGUCAUUAAUUUGGUGUCGUGGGGAAUCAGGACUGUUACUUUGAAAAAAUUAGAGUGUCUAAAGCAGGCUUACGCUUGAAUACAUUAGCAUGGAAUAAUGAAAUAGGACGUUUGAUUCUAUUUUGUUGGUUUCUAGGAUCGACGUAAUGAUUAAUAGGGAUAGUUGGGGGCAUUAGUAUUCAAUUGUCAGAGGUGAAAUUCUUGGAUUUAUUGAAGACUAACUACUGCGAAAGCAUUUGCCAAGGAUGUUUUCAUUAAUCAAGAACGAAAGUUAGGGGAUCGAAGACGAUCAGAUACCGUCGUAGUCUUAACCAUAAACUAUGCCGACUAGGGAUCGGAUGAUGUUAAUUUAAUGACUCA